CAUGUUUUAUUUGUGUUUUUUGAGUGCGGUCUAUACAUGCAAGUCGAGCGGACAGAUGGGAGCUUGCUCCCUGUAUGUUAGCGGCGGACGGGUGAGUAACACGUGGGUAACCUGCCUGUAAGACUGGGAUAACUCCGGGAAACCGGGGCUAAUACCGGAUGCUUGAUUGAACCGCAUGGUUCAAUUAUAAAAGGUGGCUUUUAGCUACCACUUACAGAUGGACCCGCGGCGCAUUAGCUAGUUGGUGAGGUAACGGCUCACCAAGGCAACGAUGCGUAGCCGACCUGAGAGGGUGAUCGGCCACACUGGGACUGAGACACGGCCCAGACUCCUACGGGAGGCAGCAGUAGGGAAUCUUCCGCAAUGGACGAAAGUCUGACGGAGCAACGCCGCGUGAGUGAUGAAGGUUUUCGGAUCGUAAAACUCUGUUGUUAGGGAAGAACAAGUACCGUUCGAAUAGGGCGGUACCUUGACGGUACCUAACCAGAAAGCCACGGCUAACUACGUGCCAGCAGCCGCGGUAAUACGUAGGUGGCAAGCGUUGUCCGGAAUUAUUGGGCGUAAAGCGCGCGCAGGCGGUUUCUUAAGUCUGAUGUGAAAGCCCCCGGCUCAACCGGGGAGGGUCAUUGGAAACUGGGGAACUUGAGUGCAGAAGAGGAGAGUGGAAUUCCACGUGUAGCGGUGAAAUGCGUAGAGAUGUGGAGGAACACCAGUGGCGAAGCGACUCUCUGGUCUGUAACUGACGCUGAGGCGCGAAAGCGUGGGGAGCGAACAGGAUUAGAUACCCUGGUAGUCCACGCCGUAACGAUGAGUGCUAGUGUUAGAGGGUUUCCGCCCUUUAGUGCUGCAGCAACGCAUUAGCACUCCGCCUGGGGGAGUACGGUCGCAGACUGAACUCAAGAUUGACGGGGCCCGCACAGCGGUGGAGCAUGUGUUUAUCGAGCACGCGAGACUACAGUCUGACAUCUCUGACACUAGAGAUACGCUCCCUUCGGGCGAGUGACGGUGGUGCAUGGAUUGUCGUCAGCUCAGUCCUGAAGUUCGUAAGUCGCACGAGCCACCAUGACUAUGCAGAUCAGAUGGCACUUAAGAUAACUGCAGUA
rnacentral:rRNA from 1 species